rnacentral:rRNA from 1 species
CGCGUGGGAAUCUACCCAGUAGUGGGGACGAACAGUUGGAAACGGCUGCUAAUACCGCAUACGCCCUAAGGGGGAAAGCAGGGAAUCUUCGGACCUUGUGCUAUUGGAUGAGCCCGCGUGAGAUUAGCUAGUUGGUAAGGUAAUGGCUUACCAAGGCGACGAUCUCUAGCUGGUCUGAGAGGAUGAUCAGCCACACUGGAACUGAGACACGGUCCAGACUCCUACGGGAGGCAGCAGUGGGGAAUAUUGCACAAUGGGCGAAAGCCUGAUGCAGCCAUGCCGCGUGUGUGAAGAAGGCUC